AGUGAGCGCUGGCGGUAGGCCUAACACAUGCCAGUCGAACGGCAGCACAGUAAGAGCUUGCUCUUACGGGUGGCGAGUGGCGGACGGGUGAGGAAUACAUCGGAAUCUACUUUUUCGUGGGGGAUAACGUAGGGAAACUUACGCUAAUACCGCAUACGACCUACGGGUGAAAGUAGGGGAUCUUCGGACCUUGCGCGAUUGAAUGAGCCGAUGUCGGAUUAGCUAGUUGGCGGGGUAAAGGCCCACCAAGGCGACGAUCCGUAGCUGGUCUGAGAGGAUGAUCAGCCACACUGGAACUGAGACACGGUCCAGACUCCUACGGGAGGCAGCAGUGGGGAAUAUUGGACAAUGGGCGCAAGCCUGAUCCAGCCAUACCGCGUGGGUGAAGAAGGCCUUCGGGUUGUAAAGCCCUUUUGUUGGGAAAGAAAAGCAGCAGGUUAAUACCCCGCUGUUCUGACGGUACCCAAAGAAUAAGCACCGGCUAACUUCGUG
rnacentral:rRNA from 1 species